rnacentral:rRNA from 1 species
GACGAACGCUGGCGGCGUGCUUAACACAUGCAAGUCGAACGGAAAGGCCCUUCGGGGUACUCGAGUGGCUAACGGGUGAGUAACACGUGGGUGAUCUGCCCUGCACUUUGGGAUAAGCCUGGGAAACUGGGUCUAAUACCGAAUAGGACCGCGCGCUUCAUGGUGUGUGGUGGAAAGCUUUUGCGGUGUGGGAUGGGCCCGCGGCCUAUCAGCUUGUUGGUGGGGUAAUGGCCUACCAAGGCGACGACGGGUAGCCGGCCUGAGAGGGUGACCGGCCACACUGGGACUGAGAUACGGCCCAGACGCCUACGGGAGGCAGCAGUGGGGAAUAUUGCACAAUGGGCGCAAGCCUGAUGCAGCGACGCCGCGUGAGGGAUGACGGCCUUCGGGUUGUAAACCUCUUUCACCAGGGACGAAGCGCAAGUGACGGUACCUGGAGAAGAAGCACCGGCCAACUACGUG